rnacentral:lncRNA from 1 species
AAACAAGCAUUUUUCUAGUUUCAGGAUAAUAACUUAGUGUACAAGUAUUUAAAUUGCUCUGAAAUUAUACCUCAAUGUUGAGACCACACGUAGAAGGUUAUGAUUCAUUUGAGGGGUUAUGGGGCCAAAGUUUAGGAAUUCAGGGCCAAAAAGGGGCCAAAACAAGCAUUUUUAUAGAAGCUUCCCUUCUGUUAAGGGGUAUGUUA